rnacentral:rRNA from 1 species
GAUGAACGCUGGCGGCGUGCCUAAUACAUGCAAGUCGAGCGAACAGACGAGGAGCUUGCUCCUCUGACGUUAGCGGCGGACGGGUGAGUAACACGUGGAUAACCUACCUAUAAGACUGGGAUAACUUCGGGAAACCGGAGCUAAUACCGGAUAAUAUAUUGAACCGCAUGGUUCAAUAGUGAAAGACGGUUUUGCUGUCACUUAUAGAUGGAUCCGCGCCGCAUUAGCUAGUUGGUAAGGUAACGGCUUACCAAGGCAACGAUGCGUAGCCGACCUGAGAGGGUGAUCGGCCACACUGGAACUGAGCCACGGUCCAGACUCCUACGGGAGGCAGCAGUAGGGAAUCUUCCGCAAUGGGCGAAAGCUUGACGGAGCAACGCCGCGUGAGUGAUGAAGGUCUUCGGAUCGUAAAACUCUGUUAUUAGGGAAGAACAAAUGUGUAAGUAACUAUGCACGUCCUGACGGUACCUAAUCAGAAAGCCACGGCUAACUACGUG